AACGAACGCUGGCGGCAUGCCUAACACAUGCAAGUCGAACGAAACCUUCGGGCCUAGUGGCGCACGGGUGCGUAACGCGUGGGAACCUGCCCUUAGGUUCGGCAUAACUCCCCGAAAGGGGUGCUAAUACCGGAUAAUGUCUUCGGACCAAAGAUUUAUCGCCUUUGGGUGGGCCCGCGUUGGAUUAGCUAGUUGGUAGGGUAAAAGCCUACCAAGGCGAGGAUCCAUAGCUGGUCUGAGAGGAUGAUCAGCCACACUGGGACUGAGACACGGCCCAGACUCCUACGGGAGGCAGCAGUGGGGAAUAUUGGAAAGUGGGCGAAAGCCUGAUCGAGCAAUGCCGGGUGAGUGAUGAAGGCCUUAGGGUUGUAAAGCUCUUUUACCCGGGAUGAUAAUGACAGUACCGGGAGAAUAAGCUCCGGCUAACUCCGUG
rnacentral:rRNA from 1 species